CAAAGGCUUGGUCCUGACUUUAUUGUCAGCUCUUACUAUACUUAUACAUGCAAGUAUCUGCCCCCCUGUGAGAAUGCCCAUAACGCCCUACUGGGACAAAGGAGCCGGCAUCAGGCACGCAUCCCGCAGCCCACAACGCCUUGCUUAGCCACACCCCUAAGGGAAAUCAGCAGUA
rnacentral:rRNA from 1 species